AGAUGUGGGACAGCCACGAGCGAAAGGGCUCAGGUAUUUUCGGAGGUUUAAAGCCAUCAAAUCUGCCGCCUUCAUCUCUCUGCUCUCAUAACGUCCCUAUUAAGACAACAAGGUCUUUAGCCGCACCACUGGAGUGAGAGCAAACAUCACCCAUCUGUGUAAAUGCACAGCCAGAAGCUUUUCAACCCUCCAUUAGAGACACGUGCAUGCCAAAUCAAUCCAGGACAAACAUGGAGGUGCCAUGUUCUUUGUGUGACCCGUUGCAGGUGAAUGUUUGACUUUC